GAUGAACGCUGGCGGCGUGCCUAAUACAUGCAAGUCGAGCGAAUGGAUUAAGAGCUUGCUCUUAUGAAGUUAGCGGCGGACGGGUGAGUAACACGUGGGUAACCUGCCCAUAAGACUGGGAUAACUCCGGGAAACCGGGGCUAAUACCGGAUAACAUUUUGAACCGCAUGGUUCGAAAUUGAAAGGCGGCUUCGGCUGUCACUUAUGGAUGGACCCGCGUCGCAUUAGCUAGUUGGUGAGGUAACGGCUCACCAAGGCAACGAUGCGUAGCCGACCGUGGAGGGUGAUCGGACACACGGGGACUGAGACACGGCCCAGACUCCUACGGGAGGCAGCAGUAGGGAAUCUUCCGCAAUGGACGAAAGUCUGACGGAGCAACGCCGCGUGAGUGAUGAAGGCUUUCGGGUCGUAAAACUCUGUUGUUAGGGAAGAACAAGUGCUAGUUGAAUAAGCUGGCACCUUGACGGUACCUAACCAGAAAGCCACGGCUAACUACGUGCCAGCCGCCGCAGUAA
rnacentral:rRNA from 1 species